GAUGAACGCUGGCGGCGUGCCUAAUACAUGCAAGUCGAGCGAACGGACGAGAAGCUUGCUUCUCUGAUGUUAGCGGCGGACGGGUGAGUAACACGUGGAUAACCUACCUAUAAUACUGGGAUAACUUCGGGAAACCGGAGCUAAUACCGGAUAAUAUUUUGAACCGCAUGGUUCAAAAGUGAAAGACGGUCUUGCUGUCACUUAUAGAUGGAUCCGCGCUGCAUUAGCUAGUUGGUAAGGUAACGGCUUACCAAGGCAACGAUGCAUAGCCGACCUGAGAGGGUGAUCGGCCACACUGGAACUGAGACACGGUCCAGACUCCUACGGGAGGCAGCAGUAGGGAAUCUUGCGCAAUGGGCGCAAGCCUGACGGAGCAACGCCGCGUGAGUGAUGAAGGUCUUCGGAUCGUAAAACUCUGUUAUUAGGGAAGAACAUAUGUGUAAGUAACUGUGCACAUCUUGACGGUACCUAAUCAGAAAGCCACGGCUAACUACGUG
rnacentral:rRNA from 1 species